AUGGUUCUCGGAUCGACCUAUCAAAAGCUUUCAAAUCCAAAUCCAAGGACUUAUAUUGGUUCAGGGAAGGUUGCGGAAAUUAGGAGUGCAGUUCAGGCCCUUGAUAUUGAGACUAUAAUUUUCGAUGAUGAGUUGUCUGCUGGCACACAGCUACGUAACUUGGAGAAGUCCUUUGGUGGAGGUGUUCGAGUCUGUGACCGGACUUCUCUUAUUUUGGACAUUUUUAAUCAAAGGGCAGCGACACAUGAAGCUGCUCUGCAGGUCACCUUGGCACAAAUGGAAUAUCAACUUCCUAGGUUGACAAAGCUAUGGACUCACCUUGAGCGGCAGUCAGGAGGCCAAGUCAAGGGUAUGGGUGAGAAACGAAUUGAAGUUGACAAGCGCAUCUUGAGAACACAAGUAAGCACUUUGAGGAAGGAAUUGGAGUCUGUCCGAAAACAUCGAAAGCUUUAUCGCAACCGUCGACGGUCGGUGCCUAUUCCUGUUGUUUCUCUGGUGGGAUAUACAAAUGCUAGAAAAAGUACACUCUUGAACCGCUUAACUGGAGCUGAUUUGCUCGCUGAGGAUAAAUUAUUUGCCACACUAGACCCAACAACACGGAGGGUGUUGAUGAAGAGCGGCACUGAGUUCCUCCUAACAGAUACUGUCGGGUUCAUUCAGAAGCUACCCACUAUGCUGGUGGCAGCAUUUAGAGCAACACUGGAGGAGAUAUCAGAAUCAUCAAUUAUUGUUCAUCUUGUAGAUAUCAGCCAUCCAUUAGCUCAACAACAGAUAAGUGCUGUUGACAAAGUACUGAAAGAGCUGGAUAUAGACUCGGUUCCGAAGUUGGUUGUGUGGAAUAAGAUUGACAAUGCCGAUAACCCAUUGAGAGUGAAGGAGGAAGCCGAGAAACAAGGGAUAAUCUGCAUAUCCGCCAUGAAUGGCGAUGGUUUGGAAGAGUUCUGCAAUGCAAUCCAAGCAAAGUUGAAAGACUCACUGGUGCCCAUAGAAGCUUUUGUUCCGUAUGACAAAGGAGAUCUGCUAAAUGACAUACAUAAGCUUGGAAUGGUUGAGAAAACGGAGUACAUGGAAAACGACACGUUGAUAAAAGCACAUGUGCCUCUACCUCUUGCAAGGCUUCUCACGCCGUUGCGGCAGCAUGUGGCUGCUCCUCUAUGA
rnacentral:rRNA from 1 species